rnacentral:lncRNA from 1 species
AUGAAGGUAGGGUUGAGGACAAUGCGAGCAAGGUUAACUAUGGAUGGCUUCAAAAGAUAGAAGUUGACGUUAGGAGAAGAAGGAAGAGAAGGAAUCUGAGCCAUCGAAGAAGAAGAGUCGAGAGGAAAGAGUCGAGGAGGAAGAAUCGAUAAGAGGCACAAGGAAGACGAACCCGUCGGAGGAAAGUUUGAAAUAUAGUUUCGAU